rnacentral:SRP_RNA from 1 species
GCCGGGCACGGUGGCUUGUGCCUGUAAUCCAAGCGCCUGGGGUGGCUGAGGCUGGUGGAUGGCUUGAGCCUGGGAGCUCAGCGUUGGAGCAAACUGUGCCGAGCGGGUGUCAGCGCUAAGGCUGGCAUCGAUAUGGUGGUCCUAGGGGAGCCGGGGGCCACCAGGUCGCCUGAGGAGGGGUGAACCGGCCCAGGUUGGAGACGGAGCAGGUCGAAGCUCCCGUGCCGGUCAGUAGCGGGAUGGCACCUGUAGCACAGCCUGGGUGAGAGGGCGGGACCCAGUUUCCU